rfam:Ictidomys tridecemlineatus contig093961, whole genome shotgun sequence.
GGGGUUGUGGCUCAGCGGUAGAGCACUCACCUUGUGUGUGUGCGGCCCUGGGUUCGAUCCUCAGCACCA